rnacentral:rRNA from 1 species
UGGGGAAUAUUGCGCAAUGGGGGGAACCCUGACGCAGCCAUGCCGCGUGAAUGAAGAAGGCCUUCGGGUUGUAAAGUUCUUUCGGUAUUGAGGAAGGUUGAUGUGUUAAUAGCACAUCAAAUUGACGUUAAAUACAGAAGAAGCACCGGCUAACUCCGUGCCAGCAGCCGCGGUAAUACGGAGGGUGCGAGCGUUAAUCGGAAUAACUGGGCGUAAAGGGCACGCAGGCGGUUAUCUAAGUGAGGUGUGAAAGCCCCGGGCUUAACCUGGGAAUUGCAUUUCAGACUGGGUAACUAGAGUACUUUAGGGAGGGGUAGAAUUCCACGUGUAGCGGUGAAAUGCGUAGAGAUGUGGAGGAAUACCGAAGGCGAAGGCAGCCCCUUGGGAAUGUACUGACGCUCAUGUGCGAAAGCGUGGGGAGCAAACAGGAUUAGAUACCCUGGUAGUCCACGCUGUAAACGCUGUCGAUUUGGGGGUUGGGGUUUAACUCUGGCGCCCGUAGCUAACGUGAUAAAUCGACCGCCUGGGGAGUACGGCCGCAAGGUUA